rnacentral:rRNA from 1 species
AUUGAACGCUGGCGGCAGGCCUAACACAUGCAAGUCGAACGAGCGGCGGACGGGUGAGUAAUGCUUGGGGACCGCCCGACAUCGGGGGAUCACUACUGGAAAACGUGGCUAAUACCGCAUACUGUCGGAUAACCCAUAUGGGAUUAGCUAGUAGGUCAGGUAAUGGCGUACCUAGGCGACGAUCCCUAGCUGGUCUGAGCGGAUGAUCAGACACAUUGGGACUGCGACACGGCCCAGACUCCUACGGAGGCAGCAGUGGGGAAUAGUGCACAAGGGGCACAAGCCUGAUGCAGCCAUGCCGCGUGUGGGAAGAAGGCCGUAGGGUUGUAAAAUCAGUUCGCCCGGGAGGCGUUACCGACAGAAGAAGCACCGGCUAACUCCGUGCCAACAGCCGCGGUAAUUC